AGGAGGGAGGCGGUGGAAGGGAGACGGGAGGAGGAGAUGAGGUCAUGGAUAGUGGAGUACACAGUCUGUUGGUAGCUGGGC